UUGUUGGAGAGUUUGAUCCUGGCUCAGGACGAACGCUGGCGGCGUGCUUAACACAUGCAAGUCGAAC
rnacentral:rRNA from 1 species